UUGUUUACGAGCAAGUAGAAUGGCGGUCGGAAGGCAACCCAACGAGCUUCCUCAGGUUUUGGUUCUAAGUCCUCCCGCGAUUUUCACAUCUCUGGAAUCCCAAUUCUCAAUCAGAUUUCAUAUGCUAAAACCAUGGGAUUCCAAACUCCCAUUACUCCAAUUUCUCACCUCUUAUGCCCAAUCCGUCCCAGCCAUGCUCGUUGUUCCAGGUGACCGUCUUCUAGUAAACUCCGCCAUUCUCGACUGCCUCCCGUCGCUGAAACUCGUCGUCACUACCAGCGCCGGUGUCGAUCACUUGGACGUCGCGGAGCUACGGCGGCGUGGGGUGGCCAUUGCCUAUGCAGGAAACUUGUUUUCUCAAGAUGUCGCUGACAUGGCGGUGGGAUUACUAAUCGACGUUCUGAGGAAUGUGUCGGCAGGAGAUCGGUUCGUGAGGCUAGGGCUUUGGCCUACGCAACGGGAUUUCCCUCUCGCAUUAAAGUUAAGCGGCAAGCAAAUUGGGAUAGUUGGAUUGGGGAAAAUAGGCACAGAAGUAGCCAAACGGCUGGAGGGUUUUGGGUGCAGAAUCUCAUACAACUCAAGAACCAAAAAGCCAUUAGUAUCAUACUCCUACUAUUCCAAUGUACAUGAACUUGCAGCCAACUGUGAGGCCCUGAUCAUUUGUUGUGGCUUAACGGCCGAAACCCGCCAUAUGAUCGACAGGGAGGUGAUGGUUGCGUUAGGCAAAGAUGGAGUGAUAAUCAACGUCGGCCGAGGGGCGAUCGUCGACGAGACGGAGCUGAUUCGAUGUUUGAUUCAAGGGGAGAUUAGGGGAGCUGGGCUGGAUGUGUUUGAGAAUGACCCUGAAAUUCCUAAAGAGCUGUUUAAUCUUGAUAAUGUAGUGUUGUCGCCACAUGUUGCUGUGUUAACAACUGAAUCUAUGGUGGGAUUGACUCAAUUGGCGUUGGGGAACUUGGAGGCAUUCUUCUCAAACAAACCUUUGGUGUCUCCGUAUGUGGAUUAGUUGAGGUGCAGCUAGCUGAGUUCAACAGGGAAACUACAAAACUUAAUGACAGAGGCGGCCGGAGUGGGUGUGGAUCUGGAAUUGAAGAAGAUUCUUCUUCCUGGACUAAAUAUGAGGCCUGCUCAUAUGUCUUAUAUGUCUGGUACUUGUUACAGUCUUUUGUUCUCUUUGUAAUUAUCUUAUUGAGUAUUGGCUUACUUUCAGCUGUUU